CAUGUGACCGCAGGUUCGUAGCGCCAACAAUGCUGUCUAGUAGGAUUAGGUGCAGCCGGAGCUGAUUUGAUAUUUGUAGCAGAUAGUGCUUGGGCUGUCACUACUCAGUUGUGAUGGGCUACCGAAUUGCAAUGGAUUGCUACUGCGCAUCCAUGAACCGACGCCAUUUUCUCCCGAGCAAUGACGGCAGUUAUAGAUAUACUUCAAACAACUUUCAGGAGCAUACCGCCAUGUAGUGUACAAGAAUAUACAGCGCCCAUGCCUUCACCCUUACGAGAGAAUGGUCCAGCUUCGGCCCGCAGUACAAGACAACUGCACCCCCUCCUUUCAACGAUCAAUCAGAUCAAACCUUCGUCAUCGGCCAACCGUGCCCAUUGCUGUCAACGACCAAUCAGAUCAAAUGUUCGUCAUCCACCAACUGCGGCCCCUGCUUUCAACGAUCCUAACCUUUAUAUAAAGAAAAUAAA